rnacentral:rRNA from 1 species
ACAUGCCUACAACAUAGAAUUAAUGUACUGGAUUCCAUUAGAACUUUGUGGUUAAGCAUGCUCAGGAUAAAGUAGUACUGGGAUGGGUGACUUCUCGGGAAGUCCUAGCGUUUUACAUGCC